rnacentral:rRNA from 1 species
AGUACUUCGGUACUAGUGGCGGACGGGUGAGUAACACGUGAGAAUCUGCCCUCAAGACGGGGACAACAGCGGGAAACUGCUGCUAAUCCCCGAUAAGCCUACGGGUGAAAAGAAAUUCGCUUGAGGAGGAGCUCGCGUCCGAUUAGCUAGUUGGUGGGGUAAAAGCUUACCAAGGCGACGAUCGGUAGCCGGUCUGAGAGGACGAUCGGCCACACUGGGACUGAGACACGGCCCAGACUCCUACGGGAGGCAGCAGUGGGGAAUUUUCCGCAAUGGGCGAAAGCCUGACGGAGCAAGACCGCGUGCGGGAGGAAGGCCUUUGGGUCGUAAACCGCUUUUCUCAGGGAAGAAGACCUGACGGUACCUGAGGAAUAAGCCUCGGCUAACUCCGUGCCAGCAGCCGCGGUAAUACGGAGGAGGCAAGCGUUAUCCGGAAUUAUUGGGCGUAAAGCGUCCGCAGGUGGCUGUUCAAGUCUGCUGUCAAAGCCCGAAGCUCAACUUCGGAGAGGCAGUGGAAACUGGGCGGCUAGAGAUCGGUAGGGGUAGAGGGAAUUCCCAGUGUAGCGGUGA